GUAAAAUCAAAAACACUCGGUUCUAGUGGGGAGCAGCUACUAGAGGUAACGGGGAAAGUCCGGUGGAAAUCCGGCGCUGUCCCGCAACUGUGAACUUAACGAAAGUAAGUCAGGAUGCCCGCCGAAGUUGAUUUCGCUUG
rnacentral:ncRNA from 2 species